rnacentral:rRNA from 1 species
AGUGAACGCUGGCGGUAGGCCUAACACAUGCAAGUCGAACGGCAGCACAGUAAGAGCUUGCUCUUACGGGUGGCGAGUGGCAGACGGGUGAGGAAUACAUCGGAAUCUACUUUUUCGUGGGGGAUAACGUAGGGAAACUUACGCUAGUACCGCAUACGACCUACGGGUGAAAGCAGGGGAUCUUCGGACCUUGCGCGAUUGAAUGAGCCGAUGUCGGAUUAGCUAGUUGGCGGGGUAAAGGCCCACCAAGGCGACGAUCCGUAGCUGGUCUGAGAGGAUGAUCAGCCACACUGGAACUGGGACACGGUCCAGACUCCUACGGGAGGCAGCAGUGGGGAAUAUUGGACAAUGGGCGCAAGCCUGAUCCAGCCAUACCGCGUGGGUGAAGAAGGCCUUCGGGUUGUAAAGCCCUUUUGUUGGGAAAGAAAAGCAGCAGGUUAAUACCCCGCUGUUCUGACGGUACCCAAAGAAUAAGCACCGGCUAACUUCGUG